rnacentral:rRNA from 1 species
UACGGAGGGUGCGAGCGUUAAUCGGAAUUACUGGGCGUAAAGCGUGCGCAGGCGGCUUUGGAAGUCAGAUGUGAAAUCCCCGGGCUUAACCUGGGAAUGGCAUUUGGGACUGCAAGGCUCGAGUGCGGCAGAGGAGACUGGAAUUCCUGGUGUAGCAGUGAAAUGCGUAGAUAUCAGGAGGAACACCGAUGGCGAAGGCAGGUCUCUGGGCUGACACUGACGCUCAUGCACGAAAGCGUGGGGAGCAAACAGG